rnacentral:rRNA from 1 species
UACCUGGCUCAGGAUGAACGCUAGCGAUAGGCUUAACACAUGUAAGUCGAGGGGCAGCAUGGCUUAGCUUGCUAAGACUGAUGGCGACCGGCGCACGGGUGCGUAACGCGUAUGCAACUUGCCUCACAGAGGGGAUAACCCGUCGAAAGACGGACUAAUACCGCGUACACUUAUCGGAGGGCAUCCUUUGGUAAGGAAAUGAAAUUCGCUGUGAGAUAGGCAUGCGUCCCAUUAGCUCGUUGGUGAGGUAACGGCUCACCAAGGCAACGAUGGGUAGGGGAACUGAGAGGUUGAACCCCCACACUGGUACUGAGACACGGACCAGACUCCUACGGGAGGCAGCAGUGAGGAAUAUUGGUCAAUGGGCGAGAGCCUGAACCAGCCAAGUCGCGUGAAGGAUGACUGCCUUAUGGAUUGUAAACUUCUUUUGUAGGGGAAUAAAGACUAGUACGUGUACUGGAGUGAAUGUACCCUACGAAUAAGCAUCGGCUAACUCCGUG